GUUGCCGCCUCGUCAAAACCUACGAUCAGAUCGGGAAUUACAUCCGUUUUAUUUGCCUUUUUAACGUUAAACAAGGGGAUACGUUUCUGUUCCAGUUCAGAGAGUCCGGGUGCGAGAAUUGCCCCUUCUUUAAGAUGGAUGAAGAUCAUGAGCGUGUCGUAGAUUGCACCACUCCUAACUUCAAUGGGAUAAUUUCUGUCAUGGA
rnacentral:misc_RNA from 1 species